rnacentral:rRNA from 1 species
GACGAACGCUGGCGGCGUGCCUAAUACAUGCAAGUUGAGCGAUGAAGCUUGGUGCUUGCACCAAUUUGAAGAGCGGCGAACGGGUGAGUAACGCGUGGGGAAUCUGCCUUUGAGCGGGGGAUAACAUUUGGAAACGAAUGCUAAUACCGCAUAAUAACUUUAAACAUAAGUUUUAAGUUUGAAAGAUGCAAUUGCAUCACUCAAAGAUGAUCCCGCGUUGUAUUAGCUAGUUGGUGAGGUAAAGGCUCACCAAGGCGAUGAUACAUAGCCGACCUGAGAGGGUGAUCGGCCACAUUGGGACUGGGACACGGCCCAAACUCCUACGGGAGGCAGCAGUAGGGAAUCUUCGGCAAUGGACGAAAGUCUGACCGAGCAACGCCGCGUGAGUGAAGAAGGUUUUCGGAUCGUAAAACUCUGUUGGUAGAGAAGAACGUUGGUGAGAGUGGAAAGCUCAUCAAGUGACGGUAACUACCCAGAAAGGGACGGCUAACUACGUG